rnacentral:piRNA from 1 species
UGCAAGAACAUGAGAGGGGGUGCAC